rnacentral:snRNA from 1 species
UGGUGUCAGGGUAGCCUGGCUGUUGCAUCUGUCACCCUCUGUCUCUUCUGUCUCCUGGCAUGGGUCUCUGGGCACUUGCUUGCACUGCUCUGUUUGCGUCCCUUUUGAGCUGUACGCUCACAGAACGUCAGUUUCUAGAUAGUGGAGGCUUGCCCAUUCGUCAAGGGCGUGUCUCGGCUUCUGUGUGACAGCCUCUAGAUCAAGCACUCCUGGCCCAUUUGGAGGACAGCAUAAGGCAGUGAGCUUGCAAGACUCCGGACACGUAUGAAUGAGAUACUGAACAUGGAAGCCUGUUUGUCAUG